rnacentral:rRNA from 1 species
AUACGUAGGGAGCGAGCGUUGUCCGGAAUUACUGGGUGUAAAGGGAGCGUAGGCGGGAGUGCAAGUCAGAUGUGAAAUGCAUGGGCUUAACCCAUGAGCUGCAUUUGAAACUGCAUUUCUUGAGUGAAGUAGAGGUAAGCGGAAUUCCUGGUGUAGCGGUGAAAUGCGUAGAUAUCAGGAGGAACACCGGUGGCGAAGGCGGCUUACUGGGCUUUUACUGACGCUGAGGCUCGAAAGCGUGGGGAGCAAACAGGAUUAGAUACCCUGGUAGUCCACGCUGUAAACGAUGAUUACUAGGUGUGGGGGGACUGACCCCUUCCGUGCCGCAGUUAACACAAUAAGUAAUCCACCUGGGGAGUACGGCCGCAAGGUUGAAACUUAAAGGAAUUGACGGGG